rnacentral:snoRNA from 11 species
UGCGAGAAUGAUGAGUUGCACGUUUGGUGGGGCUGAGUGUCAGAUGACACAAGCACCACUCAGAAACCACCCUGAUGACAAUACCAAGUGCACAGGGGCCAUCUGACUCGCU